rnacentral:lncRNA from 1 species
GCGGGCGGGGCAUCAACUAGUUCUAUUUCAUUUGACAUUAUUUUACAAAUAAAAAUACUGGCAUUAGCUGUUAGGAUACAGUUGCUAUGUGAGGUAUAUAUAAUGUGAAUUAGUACAAACUAAAGAACAAUAAAAUUCCAUGCUGCUCUCUUCUCCAGUCCAGGAAAUGUGCCAUGCUCAGUAAGUUGUAAUCAUUCAUCGUAUGCCUCAUAUUUUGUUGUUAAAACCUGAUUCUAUGGUAAGUGUUAACAAACCCCUCUUCAUGGCAGCUUGGGAUACAAAAUAACCAAUUCAAUCUUUAAUGUUAUUAUUAUUAUUCAUCACCGAUGGAGGUGGUCACAUUGGUCAUAUCCCUCUGUAACUCACCCUCCAGUAUCUCCAUCAUAUUAUCAGCCGGGCAUCUAUCAUCAGGAUUCGACCCGGAUACUUGACAAAAACACUCGGGCCACGAAUUCGUAUAAAACGAUUCGGGUGACACUCGCUUAUGGGGCCCACCAAAGUUAGUUUUCAUCAUCACGCGCCUAACCGCCUCUUCAAAACCAUCAACGUGGCCAGCUUCACGUUUAAUAAAAAGUGGAGCUAAACCUUUUCGGUCGGGCCGGAUAUUGGUCCGGAAACCGUAGUAGAGGCGGUGGCCCAAAAGGUUAUUAGCAAAGUUGCUUGGCCCGUCAUAUGUCGGCAUGAAAAUGUCUGAUAAAAGACAAACCAUGUAGUCAACAGCUGACCCCAGUA